rnacentral:lncRNA from 1 species
UACGAUCUGCAAGACUCUACUAGACAUGCUCAUGAAUCGUGAGAUUUGUGCAACCUAUUACGACUCAAAACCUACCAAUCGCAUGGCACCCCAUUCUUGCUAGGAAAACCGACAAUCUCAAAUCAAUAAAUAAAUCCACUAGCAUAGAUAUAAUAAUUCUAAACAGGUUCAAUAAUAUCAUAUAUAAGGCUAAGUCUAAUAACAAAGCACAAACCACCACAAGCAUCUCGGAUCUGCUGUAACAGAGUACAUGAGUUUCUAGGAGUAUCAAAUACAAAGGUCUAGAAUAAAUUCACAAUAUUUUUUUGAAUAAACUAAGCAGUAAUAACAAAAGAGAGGAAGGCAACUCCAACAGCCUGCAAACAGAUAUGCAGCACUUCUUUGUGUUAUAGUUAACACCUCUCUGAACUCCACUGGGGCCAAUACCUAAAUUUGCACAAGAAAUGCAGAAGUGUAGUAUGAGUAUAAUUGACACAAUAUACCCAAUAAGUAUCAAGUCUAUCCUCGAAGAAGUAAUGAAGAGGUUUUGACCAACAUGAUACUUACUUUCAUGGUCAGAUAAUCUACAAGUGUAAAUAAAGAGAAGGAAUAGCUCUAAAACAGUAAAUAAUAGCAAUAUGAAUCACACCCAAGGAAGGUAAUAAGCAUAUUUCUCAAAGAUAAUGAUCAAAGCAUAAUUCUUUCACCGAGUCCACCUAAGAUAAUGAUGUGCAUGAAAUAAAGGUAAAGGAAUGCUCCUACAUAAGUGCAUGAUGUGUAUGCAUGUUAAAAACUCAACCUUUCCGUAGAAUCAGUACCAAAUCCACACACACUCAACAUAUUCCGUGUGCCUGAUACAAGUGUCCCUCACAAUCACACACACAGCACUGUAUGGAUGCUGUGAUAAAUGCCCUUUGUCACACCUCCUUUUAUUCUACCCCGGAAGGGUAUAGGGGAGUUUUUUCAAUUAAAGUGACAAUCGAAACGAGAUUAUUUUAUUUAACAUUCAGAGUCGCCACUUGGGAUAAUUUAUGGUGUCCCAAGUCACCGGUUCAAAUUCCGAAUCGAGAAAAAGAUUGACCCUAUAUUACAGUCCGCGAACACAGAAAUCCAGGUAAGGAAUUCUGUUAACCCGGGAGAAGGUAUAGGCAUUCCCGAGUUUCGUGGUUUUAGCACGGUCGAUCAACUGUUAUUAUUGGCCUAUUAUCUGAUUUUUUAUACAUGUUCUAACCUAUGGUUCAAUUUUAACUUUAACCGCUUUAUUUAAUUAAUUUUUAGGAAAAAAUUCAACGUCAUCUAAAACGCGUCUUGAACCACGUCACAUAAAUGCACCCCCGGUCCACGGCAUAUUUUAUCUAACAUUGUUGGGAUUUGGAUUUGGGUCACAUAAAUGCGCACUCGAGUUUAGGAAAUUAAUUUUUUAAAAUAACGCGCUUAAAGCAACUAUGCACUUCAACUUUGCGAGGGUCAUGGGAAAUGGAUAAUAUUAUGGAGGAAAUGAGGUUAAUAAUUCAUGGAAACACUGGCUAGCUUGUAGCAAUAUCGAUAUUUGGACUAGCUUAUUAAUUGGCCCAGAUCCAAUUUUUUAUGUCACCCCCCACGAUCCAACACAUGAAGGAAAACUCAUUUCCAACUAUUUCUAAAGACCAACAAACCUAAUUCUUCCCAAUUUAAUUGAAUGAACCCCCUAGCCCCUUCUUCUUUUUCUUCUUCAUAUUACAGUUUCUAUGCCUAAAGGAUAAUAUUUAACUUUGGUCACAUAAAUUAAAAUAAUAUUAACUCAUAAAAUAAGGAAUUACAAAAAAAAAAAACAAAGCAAUAAAACAUCAAUUAAGGAAUAAAAUAUUGUAAAGAAAUAUUUACACAAGAUCCCUGUAAAACGUUAACCUAUUUAACAUCCUAAUUCCAAUGUGGACCUCUUAAAUGAUUCUAAAUUAAUAACAUAGAUGAAAAGUUCAUAAUUCAAAUUACUAAUUUUGACAAAAAUUGGCAUCAAAUUACUACUGCUUAAUAUUUAUUAAAGACACCCCUCUAAUGUAUUAACACAAUAAACUAAAUUGUGCCAUUUUUUUAUAAAAGAAACAUAAAAAAAACAGCUGACACAAGAUUAAUGCAAACAAAAUUUAAGCAAACUUAAGUGAGAGGAGACAUGUUCGAAGAAAAAUAUUUUGAAGCAAGAACAAAGUAGAACCCAGAUACUAAUUGAUAAACAGAGAAAGGGAAGAACCUUAAUAUUAAACUUUCACUUUUGAUUUUUUAACUGAUGAUUUGUUCCAAAGAUGGAAUCGCGAUAGAGACCUCGACGGAAAGGCAUGCACUGUCGACCUCGAACUUUCACCAGAACUCGAUGUGCCCUCCCCUUUUGUUAUGAGUAGUGUAGUAUUUAUACGUGUGAGUUGAAUUUUGAGAGAAAGGAGGUGAAUCCAAAAAUCAAAGGGGGAAGGCUGUUUUUCAUUUUGUAGUCAGCUGGGUUUAAAGCUAUUUUUAGCUAUUUGAUGGCUAAACUUCCAUUUCCUUUGUUUAAUCUCCUUCUGUAUAUGUGUGUGUCUUUAAAUGGAAAAGAAAGAUGGUUUAAGAAUCAGAAAAAGUGGAAUUUGGGCAUGAAGCUGCCGUCUUUUCUGAAAAAAGAAAGAGAUUUGCGGUUGAUUUUAGGGGUCUAACUUUAGGUUCAGCGGCUGAUUCUAAUAUUUGGUCCCCUUAGCAUUAGGCAUUACCCCUGUUAUAUAGAUCUAGGUCUAAAUGUGUAUUUUUGUGCUAAUUGCUCUUAGGUCCUUAGGGUCUUUUUAUUUAUUUAUUAUUCCAAAAAAAGUCUAGAAGAGUCCCUAGGAUUAGCUUAAUGGUUAUUGGGUAUUGUGCUUAAGGAAUGGGCUAGAAACUUG